rnacentral:rRNA from 1 species
GACGAACCGUGCAAACGUUGUUCGGAAUCACUGGGCUUAAAGGGCGCGUAGGCGGGCCAGCAAGUCAGGGGUGAAAGCCCACGGCUCAACCGUGGAAGUGCCUUUGAUACUGUUGGUCUUGAGGGAGGUAGGGGCGUGCGGAACUUCCGGUGGAGCGGUGAAAUGCGUAGGUAUCGGAAGGAACACCGGUGGCGAAGGCGGCAUCCUGGACCGACACUGACGCUGAGGAGCGAAAGCCAGGGGAGCAAACGGG